UUUUUUUUCAAACAUGGUCUUUUGUUUAUAUAAAAGAUCUGACCUGCCCUAUGAUUUAUUUUAAAUGGCUGCAGUAUUUUGACUGUACAAAGGUAGCAUAAUCAUUUGUCUUUUAAUUGAAGGCUGGUAUGAAUGGUUGGAUGAAAAAUAUACUUUCUUUUUUUUAUAUAAAAAAUUUAAUUUUUUGGUUAAAAAGCCAAAAUGUUUUUAUAGGACGAGAAGACCCUAUAGAACUUUAUUUUCUAUAUAUAUAAAUUUUAUUGAUUUUUAUAAAAUUAUAUAUUUAUGUUAAUUAUGUUGGGGUGACAGAAAAAAUUAUAUAACUUUUUCUAUUUUAGGCAUUUAUUUAUGUUUUGAUCUUUUAUUAAAAAAAUAGGAUUAAGUUACCUUAGGGAUAACAGCGUUAUUUUCUUUGAGAGUUCUUAUUGAUAAGAAAGUUUGCGACCUCGAUGUUGGAUUAAAAUAAGUGGCAGGGGUAGAAUAUUGCUUUACUAGGUCUGUUCGACCUUUAAAUUUUUACAUGAUCAAUUUUCCA
rnacentral:rRNA from 1 species